AAUACGGGUAUGUGCCGCUGGAUAAGGUAUGGUUUUUGGCCUUGCUACCUUACACAGGGUAUACCGCCGGAAAUUCUUUUAAACAGGAUCUAUAAUUUUGACACAAGAUCCAUCCAGUGUUGGAUCAAGGUAUAAGCGAAAGCACGUGACCCCAGAAGAAGCAUUUCAUUGGACCAUAAAGUCAUGCAUUAUCAAUGAGGUUGAGAGCUUUAUUUGCAACAAGACUUUCAAAAGACAUUAUGAGGACAAAACAAUGAAAAAAGGAGGUUUGGAAAUGUGAUCUAAAUAAGCAUGCAUUUUUGGCAUCUUAUGCUUUGAAUUUUCUCCAAGAAUUAUUAAUAGUUUGAGAAGCAAUAUCAAGCACCUCGAAGUUGUUAAGCUCUUAAGAAAUGAAGAUUUUGGCUCCGCCUUAAUUUUUCGACUUACUUUUCGGUGUUUGGAUCGGAAAUUGCUUAGAUGAAGCUGACUCUUUCACUUGUUUGAUAUAUUACAUCGCAUGUCUAGACAACUGAAUGAGGCUAAAGUCACGUUUACAGGCAGAUCUCAUUAAACAUCUAAUUAGAUUGAUAUUCAUUUUCAUCUAUGUCACUUUUUCAGCUGUUCAUUUACCACGACAUUUACUACUACUAUGUAGGUCUACGCCGUUGAGCCCCUCAUUUGAAGCUACCAUUAAGCUUUUCAUAUCGUUAAUAUAUUCUUUCUCUCGUUCAGUUUGCAUAUCCUAUAGAGAAACUUAGGUGUCAAGUGGUGGGGGUUUUGAAGCCCAGGGAAAUAGUGGUGUUAAGAGAUUAGUAUUCAUAGUGACUCUCUAUAUAAAGCAUACUAUGAGGCCUUA